GGGGUAACAUUGUAGCUUGCUACAGAUGACGACCGGCGCACGGGUGCGUAACGCGUAUAGAACUUACCUUUUACAGAGGGAUAGCCUUUAGAAAUGAAGAUUAAUACCUCAUAGUAUUGAGAACUGGCAUCGGUUUUUAAUUAAAGAUUUAUCGGUAAAAGAUGGCUAUGCGUCCUAUUAGCUAGAUGGUAAGGUAACGGCUUACCAUGGCUACGAUAGGUAGGGGCCCUGAGAGGGGGAUCCCCCACACUGGUACUGAGACACGGACCAGACUCCUACGGGAGGCAGCAGUGAGGAAUAUUGGGCAAUGGAGGAGACUCUGACCCAGCCAUGCCGCGUGCAGGAAGACUGCCCUAUGGGUUGUAAACUGCUUUUAUACAGGAAGAAACACUGCUACGUGUAGCAGCUUGACGGUACUGUAAGAAUAAGGACCGGCUAACUCCGUGCCAGCAGCCGCGGUAAUACGGAGGGUCCGAGCGUUAUCCGGAAUCAUUGGGUUUAAAGGGUCCGCAGGCGGUCGAUUAAGUCAGAGGUGAAAUCCCAUAGCUUAACUAUGGAACUGCCUUUGAUACUGGUUGACUUGAGUCAUAUGGAAGUAGAUAGAAUGUGUAGUGUAGCGGUGAAAUGCAUAGAUAUUACACAGAAUACCGAUUGCGAAGGCAGUCUACUACGUAUGUACUGACGCUCAUGGACGAAAGCGUGGGGAGCGAACAGGAUUAGAUACCCUGGUAGUCCACGCCGUAAACGAUGGACACUAGUUGUUGGGCAUUAGCUCAGUGACUAAGCGAAAGUGAUAAGUGUCCCACCUGGGGAGUACGAUCGCAAGAUUGAAACUCAAAGGAAUUGACGGGGGCCCGCACAAGCGGUGGAGCAUGUGGUUUAAUUCGAUGAUACGCGAGGAACCUUACCAGGGCUUAAAUGUAGUAUGACAGGUUUAGAGAUAGACUUUUCUUCGGACAUAUUACAAGGUGCUGCAUGGUUGUCGUCAGCUCGUGCCGUGAGGUGUCAGGUUAAGUCCUAUAACGAGCGCAACCCUUGUCGUUAGUUGCCAGCAUGUAAAGAUGGGGACUCUAACGAGACUGCCGGUGCAAACCGCGAGGAAGGUGGGGAUGACGUCAAAUCAUCACGGCCCUUACGUCCU
rnacentral:rRNA from 1 species